rnacentral:tRNA from 1 species
GUGUAUUGUGAGCAUUCGACUCUUAAUCGACUGGUCGUAGGUUCGAUCCCUACCGCGUCCACCA